UAAGGAAUAUUGGUCAAUGGAGGCAACUCUGAACCAGCCAUGCCGCGUGCAGUAAGACAGCCCUCUGGGUCGUAAACUGCUUUUAUCUGGGAAUAAACCUACUUACGUGUAAGUAGCUGAAUGUACCAGAAGAAUAAGGAUCGGCUAACUCUGUGCCAGCAGCCGCGGUAAUACGGAGGAUCCAAGCGUUAUCCGGAUUUAUUGGGUUGAGAGGGUGCGUAGGCGGCAUGUUAAGUCAGGGGUGAAAGACGGUAGCUCAACUAUCGCAGUGCACUUGAUACGGACAGGCUUGAAUGACCUAGAGGUAGGCGGAAUGUGACAAGUAGCGGUGAAAUGCAUAGAUAUGUCCCAGAACACCGAUUGCGAAGGCGGCUUACUAUGGUUUUAUUGACGCUGACGCACGAAAGCGUAGGGAUCAAACGGG
rnacentral:rRNA from 1 species